GGGAUAACGGUUCGAAAGAGCUGCUAAGACCGCAUAGGCUCACGCGGGGAAGUGCCGGGUGAGAAAAGAGCGCGAGCUGCUUCAGGAGGGGGCUGCGACCCAUCAGGUAGUUGGAGCGGUAACGGCGCACCAAGCCGACGACGGGUAGGGGGUCUGAGAGGAUGAUCCCCCACACUGGGACUGAGACACGGCCCAGACUCCUACGGGAGGCAGCAGUGAGGGAUAUUGGUCAAUGGGCGAAAGCCUGAACCAGCGACGCCGCGUGGGUGAAGAAGGUCUUCGGAUCGUAAAGCCCUUUUCUGCGUGAAGAGGACAGGACGGUAGCGCAGGAAGAAGUCUCGGCUAACUACGUGCCAGCAGCCGCGGUAAAACGUAGGAGACAAGCGUUAUCCGGAGUUACUGGGCGUAAAGGGCGUGCAGGCGGCUGAGUAAGUCUGUUGUGAAAGCGCCUGGCUUAACCGGGCGAGGCCAAUGGAGACUGCUUGGCUAGAGGAUGGCGGAGGGGUGUGGAAUUCCGGGUGUAGUGGUGAAAUGCGUAGAGAUCCGGAGGAACACCAGAGGCGAAGGCGGCACCCUACGCCGUACCUGACGCUGAGACGCGACAGCACGGGGAGCGAACGGGAUUAGAAACCCCGGUAGUCCGUGCCGUAAACGAUGCCAGCUAGACGUUCGUCUCCCGA
rnacentral:rRNA from 1 species